CCCUUCCAUGCCACGCACCGCCAUCGCCGCGUCGAGCACGCUGCCGAGCACCGCCGCCGUCGCCCCGUUCUCGACCGCGAGCACCACGCGCGCGAACGCCACGCCGUCACCGCGCGCACCCCCCACGCCGACCGCCGUUCGCCGCGCGCUGCCGAGCGCACGCCGUCGCCCCGCUCCCGUCCGCUCCAUCGCGCACCGGCCCUCGACGCGUCCCCCGUCGCGCCCGCAUCAUUCCAAGAGUCGGAGGACGAUCGGACUGACGAGGACCGUGAGUAUCGGGAGGAGUUAGGCGACGACUACUCCGAAGGUUCUUACGAUUCAGAGGGAUAUAGUGACUAGGGGAUUCGUGCCUUCGCUCAAGUCGUUGGAGACUCUACUUUCCGCACUUAUCGAGCUGUUCCGGUUGAUAACUUAGAUUUUGUUUCCGCCAUGUGGCAAUGUAAUAAUGUACUACUCUCUAUUCUUAAUGCUUUUGUACGAUGUAUGGAUGAUGAUUAUCAACUGGAAUUGGGUAAUUUGAUUUAAAUGGUCAUUUUA